GCGGGGCGGGUAGAAAAGGCCCGGCGGCGGCCAGGGCGCCUCAGAGCGGCGGCGGGGCCGGGGUUUGUGUGUGGCCGGGCCGGGGGCGGCGGCCGGGCGGGCUGUGUGAGGGGUCGCAGCGCCGCUGAGCUGCCACAACUUCCCCAUGCGUUUGGGACCCUGGUUGCAGCCUCUCCAGCUCCAUAGUCAUAGAAUCGGGUCAUAGCGAGGUUGGAAGCGUGUGCAGGGGAGCGAGGAGCUGUGAAUCCUGCGUUGUGGCUGCUGGAGCUGGAUGGCUUUCAUGGGCGAGUAUAGUGCUUGGGUCGCCAGAGCUGUCACUUCAACAUCCUUCAGCAGCACUAAAGCAGCUUUGAAGAAAACCACUACCCAAGAACUCGCUGGGAAAGGCCAAGUCAGGAGAAAAGGAAAGGCUGAUUGCAGGGAAGUGUGAUUGAUAUAUAUAUAUAUAUAUAUAUAUAUAUAUACAGGGAGAAGUAAGUCAGAAAAGGUUCAGCUGCUUGAACGUCCAAUUUAAACAAGGCACAGGUUCAUUUAAGCACCCAAAGUGAAUACAGAAGCUACGGGAUGGAAGCAGAGCAAGCAGUGUCUGCAGGUUUACUGAUGCUCACGAGGGAAGCACGCAACGACUCUGCUCCUUUUGGACCAAUGAGCUGAUCUCCACAGACCGCCCCAAAGGGGCCUGCCAGAUCUAAAGUUUCAGAAAACGCCAUGUGAAAGUUUCUUUCUCCGAUUAUAUUAAAGUUUUCAACUGUAAUUCCAA